UUCUCCUCCUGUUUAGUUUGACUAAAUAAUUUAAAAAAAUGAAACUUCCUUUGUUCUAGCUACUGCGCACUUGUUUCUCAAACCCUAAAACCUUUUCUUUCUUCCUCCUCUCUCACUACGGCAAUGAAUUGAAUUGAGGAGUUGAGAAGCUUCUUAAUUGAUUGGGUAACGAUUAUAGGCAGGCAAUGCAUCUCUCUUGUUCCAGUUCGAUCAGGUGGGGUGAGGGCAGCAACGCAUCUCUUUCGUUCCGGUUCGAUCCUCAAGUUUCAACACUUUUCUUUUCAUUGAUUGCAAGGUUCGACAUCCUUGCUCAAUUUUUAAAAGCCGUGGAGUCUAUGCAUCAGUGGGUAAUUAUUUGAUUUCUAAAGAGUUACCACUCAAGGCCCAAAGAAACAGAGCCUAAAUCAUAGUGAAGUGGAGUCGGAUUCGUUGUUGAUUAGUUCUUUCGGUGCAGUGCAGCAAGGAAAGCAAAAUUAGAUUUAUCGGCGGCAUAAAUUGAGAGGAAAUGCCGAUUGAUAAAUCUUGGAUGCAAUUAAGUAGAUCAGACCCAAAGUAUAAUCAAGGAGUUACAGAGUUUCUUGAUUACGUGAUAAUAUGUCCAUGCAAAGUAUGUGGAUUAAAUAGAGACAGACUUGUGAUGUCUAAAGUGCACUGGCAUCUCCUUAGAUAUGGAAUUAAACCACACUAUACUUUCUGGAAUUUGCAUGGGGAGGCUGAAGAUGAUAAUAGCGAUGAAAGUGAGGAUGAUACUAAUAGUGAGACUGAUAGAGGUGCUGAUAAUGGAGCAACCCCUAUGGAGCUAUGUGAUGAUAUGCAAGAUUUGAUAGAAGAAAUUUUUCUGCAAGAUCCAAAUGAAGAUGCGCAAAGAUUUUACAAAUUGUUGGAUUGGUGGAGGCACCAUUAUAUGAGGAUUGCAAAAAGUAUUCAAACUUGUCAUUUAUUGUCAAGUUGAUGCACAUCAAGUGCAGCAAUAAUUGGAGAAACAAAUCAUUUAAGAUGUUGCUAGAACUGUUAAAAGAUGCAUUUCCUACGUGCAAAAAACUUCCCAAAUCCAAUUAUGGUGCAAAGAAGAUUGUUCAAGAACUCGGCAUUCAUUAUGAGAGAAUUGACACAUGCAAGAAUGACUGUAUAAUUUAUUACAAGGGGCAUGCAAAUGCAACUAAAUCCCAUAUGUAAGUCUUCAAGAUGGCAGACAUAAUGUGGCAAGGGCGACAAAAAGAAGCGAAAGAAGAUUCCAUGGAAGGUGUUGCGAUAUUUUCCUUGGUCCUCCUAAGAAGAAAGGUAGAGGGGGAGCUAAGGGUGAAAAGGGACAUGACAUGCCAGCUAAUAUACAUGACGGACGGUAUUUGUGAUGACUUAGAUUUUAGUUAUUUAAUUCCUACAAUUAGUAAUGGAUUAGUUGUACGGAUAAUAAGUGUUAUGCUUUGUUCGUAUGUUAUUUGUGAAGUGGAAUGAUUUUUGGAUGAAUAA